GUGCCAGCCGCCGCGGUAAAACGUAGGAGGCGAGCGUUAUCCGGAGUUACUGGGCGUAAAGCGCGUGCAGGCGGUCGGACAAGUGGCGGGUGAAAGCGCCCGGCUCAACCGGGCGAGUGCCGGUCAGACUGUUCGACUGGAGUACCGGUGAGGGACGUGGAAUUCCGGGUGUAGCGGUGAAAUGUGCAGAGAUCCGGAGGAACACCAGCGGCGCAAGCGGCGUCCUGGACGGAAACUGACGCUGAGACGCGACAGCGUGGGGAGCGAACGGGAUUAGAAACCCCCGUAGUCC
rnacentral:rRNA from 1 species